AUGAAUGUAGAUGUUUGAGUAAAGUAGAGUUUCUAACAUCCUUCUCAGCCCAACACGGCGGCGUGUGACCCCGCCUCCAAGAAUCCCUGUCUCCUCUCUCUCGCGCGCUUUCUCGCUUUCUCCACCUCCGGCAGUCCUCUGAAAGCCAGACACUCGACCUCGCCUCCACUCCACCGCCACACUCCGUCAGCUGUAAACGCAUCAGUUUGUUUGGCUGCCACCGCGUAGGCUGUGAGAUUCCUGCACAGAAGCCACAGUAUGUUGGAAAGACCAGAGACCAAAACCUGAAGAGCUGGAAGAACUUUGGUUGCUGGCAUCACAAUAAACUGACACAAGUGGAAAAAUGUCCAAGUCUUCUAGCAUGAAUUAUGGAUCCCCGGGAUCUGCCCCCC